rnacentral:rRNA from 1 species
AGCGUCUGGAAAGGCGCGCGAUACAGGGUGACAGCCCCGUACACAAAAGCGCAUGUGCUGUGAGCUCGAUGAGUAGGGCGGGACACGUGGUAUCCUGUCUGAAUAUGGGGGGACCAUCCUCCAAGGCUAAAUACUCCUGACUGACCGAUAGUGAACCAGUACCGUGAGGGAAAGGCGAAAAGAACCCCGGCGAGGGGAGUGAAAAAGAACCUGAAACCGUGUACGUACAAGCAGUGGGAGCCCCACCACUAAGCCAGUGGUGAACUCCACAUACGCAUCCUUUGCUGAGGAUACGGUUAACGGAGCGAAAGCGACGUUCAACCUCAAAAGAAGCAGAGGGGGCUUAGUGGUGGGGUGACUGCGUACCUUUUGUAUAAUGGGUCAGCGACUUAUAUUCUGUAGCAAGGUUAACCGAAUAGGGGAGCCGCAGGGAAACCGAGUCUUAACCGGGCGUUAAGUUGCAGGGUAUAGACCCGAAACCCGGUGAUCUAGCCAUGGGCAGGUUGAAGGUUGGGUAACACUAACUGGAGGACCGAACCGACUAAUGUUGAAAAAUUAGCGGAUGACCUGUGGCUGGGGGUGAAAGGCCAAUCAAACCGGGAGAUAGCUGGUUCUCCCCGAAAGCUAUUUAGGUAGCGCCUCGUGAAUUCAUCUCCGGGGGUAGAGCACUGUUUCGG